rnacentral:rRNA from 1 species
AGAGAGAGACAUGCGCGCAUAUCAAUAAGCGGAGGAAAAGAAACUAACAAGGAUUCCCCUAGUAACGGCGAGUGAAGCGGGAAGAGCUCAAAUUUGAAAUCUUAAAGGGUUUCCCUUUACGAAUUGUAGUUUAAAGAAGUGUUUUCUGUUGAGGUUUUGGUAGAAGUUCUUUGGAAUAGGACAUCAUAGAGGGUGAGAAUCCCGUAUUUGACCUUUACUUUCAACUUUGUGAUACACUUUCAAAGAGUCGGAUUGUUUGGGAAUGCAGUCCAAAAUGGGUGGUAAAUUUCAUCUAAAGCUAAAUAUUGGCGAGAGACCGAUAGCGAACAAGUACCGUGAGGGAAAGAUGAAAAGAACUUUGAAAAGAGAGUUAAACAGUACGUGAAAUUGUCAAAAGGGAAGCGUUUGACGCCAGUGUUGUUUUUCUGAAAAUCAAUUAAAGAACUGUUUAUGCUAAGCUGUUUAGACUUUAUCAGCUAAUCUGUUUAGUUUUGAGCUUUUCUUUAAUGCACUUUUCAGUUAACAAGUCAACAUCAAUUUCUUUUGCUGUAAAAAAGCUUGAGGAAGGUGGCUUGAGAUUCGUCUUAAGUGUUUAUAGCCUCUUGCCUAUGCAGUCCGGAGAGAUUGAGGUCUGCAGCGUAGAUCCUUCGGGGCUAAAUGCAUUUGUGCUAAGUUAUAGCAUUUUAUAGACAACUUGUUGACUAUGAUUUGUCUUGUAGCUUACUCGCUUAUGUUAUUUUACCUACGCUUAGGAUGUUGAGCGCAUGUCUCUCUCU